rnacentral:rRNA from 1 species
UACGUAGGGUGCGAGCGUUAAUCGGAAUUACUGGGCGUAAAGCGUGCGCAGGCGGUUUUGUAAGCCAGAUGUGAAAGCCCCGGGCUCAACCUGGGAAUGGCAUUUGGGACUGCAAGGCUUGAGUGCGGCAGAGGAGACUGGAAUUCCUGGUGUAGCAGUGAAAUGCGUAGAUAUCAGGAGGAAUACCGAUGGCGAAGGCAGGUCUCUGGGCUGACACUGACGCUCAUGCACGAAAGCGUGGGAGCGAAACAAC